CCGCGGGAUUAGAGUUUGAUCCUGGCUCAGGAUGAACGCUAUCGGCAGGCCUAAUACAUGCAAGUCGGACGGGAUUCCCGACCUCGGUUGGGAUGAGAGUGGCGCACGGGUGCGUAACACGUAUGUAACCUACCUUUGUCAGGGGGAUAGCCUCUCGAAAGAGAGAUUAAGCCCGCAUAAAAUGAAGACACAGCAUUGUGAUUUCAUCAAAUAUUUAUAGGACGGAGAUGGGCAUGCGGAACAUUAGCUAGUUGGUAAGGUAAUGGCUUACCAAGGCUACGAUGUUUAGGGGAUCUGAGAGGAUGACCCCCCACACUGGUACUGAGACACGGACCAGACUCCUACGGGAGGCAGCAGUAAGGAAUAUUGGUCAAUGGGCGGAAGCCUGAACCAGCCAUGCCGCGUGCAGGAAGACGGCCCUACGGGUUGUAAACUGCUUUUGUGCCAGAAUAAACCUCAGGUCGUGACCUGGGCUGAAAGUAUGGUAAGAAUAAGGAUCGGCUAACUCCGUGCCAGCAGCCGCGGUAAUACGGAGGAUCCGAGCGUUAUCCGGAUUUAUUGGGUUUAAAGGGUGCGUAGGCGGCCUGUUAAGUCAGGGGUGAAAGACGGUAGCUUAACUAUCGCAGUGCCUUUGAUACUGAUGGGCUUGAAUGUACUAGAGGUAGGCGGAAUGUGACAAGUAGCGGUGAAAUGCAUAGAUAUGUCACAGAACACCAAUUGCGAAGGCAGCUUACUAUGGUAUGAUUGACGCUGAGGCACGGAAGCGUGGGGAUCAAACAGGAUUAGAUACCCUGGUAGUCCACGCCCUAAACGAUGAAUACUCGAUGUUAGC
rnacentral:rRNA from 1 species